rnacentral:tRNA from 1 species
CGGGGAUUAGCUCAGCUGGCUAGAGCACCUGCUUUGCAAGCAGGGGUCAUCGGUUCGAAUCCGAUAUUCUCCACGA